AAAUUCAACAAUGGAAGCCUUUCUCUCUUCCAGUUCAUUCCAUGUCUGUGAUCAGUUUUUUCAAGUCUUUGAUUCAACAAUGGAGUGGCCUGAUUUCUAGCCUGAUGUAGCCAACCAGAGUGGUGAAGUUUCACAAUCUGUUUCUGGGUCAAUAUUUGCAAGAAAACUAUGGGCAGCCCAAUCUUUUUAGUAGGAAGCCAAAACUUUUGACUUCAGUUUGACCGGAGCAUCCUCAAGAUCUUGCAAGAAUGUCCUAAACACACUUAUGCAGAGGAUUCCUAAAUUUUAUGAGUCCGAUACUAUGCAAAGGCUUUGAAAUUCCUUUGGAAUGAAGUACUACGUCUGCUGUGAAAGCAUCCACAAGAUAUGUCAAAUCUUGAUUCUACAACAGGCAACAAACAUGUUUUGUGAUAUUGGAAGGCUUGGAUUUCUAAAUUUUAUGAGGUUGAACAGAACUUUAGGCCAUUGAUUACUAUAUGCAAAAGGCAGUGGAUUUCCUUUGGAAUGAAGAAGCACUACUUCUAAUUGCUAAACAGCACUUAAACUUGUUUUCCAAAGUGUAGAAUUGAUUACUACAGCCAACCAAUGCAAGUAUAAAGUUGCAAAAGUUGCUGCUCAGCUAGAAUAGAAAUCGCCAAAUUAUAGGAGUACAUUGAGCAAGGUAUUAAUUACUUGGAAAAGGCAGUAGAUUUCUUCCAUAGCCUACCAAUGCAAAGUCCAAGUAGAAUGAUGUGCAAUUCAUGAGCUUCAAAUUUUUUGUGCUUUCACUCCGAUUCUUUGUGUGCAUCUUUGUGCCUAAAUUGUACUUACUUAGCAAAGCCACCUUAUAGAGGUACCUUUGCUUUUAUCUUGUAAAAGAGAGAAAAGGGUUCUACCUAAGCCUUUAAAAGGUAGUGUUUAGAGGUUGUGCCAUAUCCUUGAAAAGGCAAAGGUUCUUAACUUAGCUUUGAAAAGUUAAAGAGGUUGUGUCUUGUUCUUGAAAAGAAAAGGUUUGUGCUUGAACCUUUGAAAAGGCACAUUGUAUUUAAUUUAUUCAAUAGUGAAUU